GACGUAGGGUGCGAGCGUUGUCCGGAUUUAUUGGGCGUAAAGGGCUCGUAGGCGGCUUGUUACGUCGGCUGUGAAAACCCGCGGCUCAACCGCGGGCCUGCAGCCGAUACGGGCAGGCUAGAGUUCGGUAGGGGAGACUGGAAUUUACGGUGUAGCGGUGAAAUGCGUAGAUAUCGUAAGGAAGACCAGUGGCGAAGGCGGGUCUCUGGACAGUUCCUGACGCUGAGGCACGAAGGCCAGGGGAGCAAACGGG
rnacentral:rRNA from 1 species